CUCCUACGGGAGGCAGCAGUCGGGAAUUUUGGGCAAUGGGCGAAAGCCUGACCCAGCAACGCCGCGUGAAGGAUGAAGUAUUUCGGUAUGUAAACUUCGAAAGAAUGGGAAGAAUAAAUGACGGUACCAUUUAUAAGGCCCGGCUAACUACGUGCCAGCAGCCGCGGUAAUACGUAGGGACCAAGCGUUGUUCGGAUUUACUGGGCGUAAAGGGCGCGUAGGCGGUGUUGUAAGUCACUUGUGAAAUCUCUGAGCUUAACUCAGAACGGCCAAGUGAUACUGCAGCACUAGAGUGCGGAAGGGGCAAUCGGAAUUCUUGGUGUAGCGGUGAAAUGCGUAGAUAUCAAGAGGAACACCUGAGGUGAAGACGGGUUGCUGGGCCGACACUGACGCUGAGGCGCGAAAGCCAGGGGAGCAAACGGGAUUAGAUACCCCGGUAGUCCUGGCCCUAAACGAUGAAUACUUGGUGUCUGGAGUUAUUAGUGCUCCGGGUGCCGUCGCUAACGUUUUUAGU
rnacentral:rRNA from 1 species